GAAAUGCGAUACGUAAUGUGAAUUGCAGAAUUCAGUGAAUCAUCGAAUCUUUGAACGCACCUUGCACUCUUUGGUAUUCCGAAGAGUAUGUAUGUUUGAGUGUCGUGAAUCUCUCAACCCCCCUAUUUUGUAAUGAAAUAGGCUUUGUGGGCUUGGAUUAUGGCUGUCUGUCGGACCUCUUUAUUGAGCCGGCUCAGCUGAAAUAUACGAGCGACCCAAUGUUUCCAUUAUAAAUGUGUUAACGGCUUGACUCGGCGUAAUAAUACUAUUCGCUGAGGACGUUUUCAUUAUAAAAAGGACUUAUUGACGCUUCCAAUGCGACUUUAAUUAGUCAAUUCAUAACUCUAGACCUCAAAUCAGAUAGGACUACCCGCUGAACUUAA
rnacentral:misc_RNA from 1 species